GGUUAAGCGACUAAGCGUACACGGUGGAUGCCCUGGCAGUCAGAGGCGAUGAAGGACGUGCUAAUCUGCGAAAAGCGUCGGUAAGGUGAUAUGAACCGUUAUAACCGGCGAUGUCCGAAUGGGGAAACCCAGUGUGAUUCGUCACACUAUCGUUAACUGAAUACAUAGGUUAACGAGGCGCACCGGGGGAACUGAAACAUCUAAGUACCCCGAGGAAAAGAAACCAACCGAGAUUCCCCCAGUAGCGGCGAGCGAACGGGGAGCAGCCCAGAGUCUGAAUC
rnacentral:rRNA from 1 species